UAAAUAGUCUGCCCGCUACGCCAAGAUCACCAUGACGUUUUGGAUACAGUACGACCCUCGACUCCCGUGGGCACGUUUGAAUACCACUUGAGCAGUUGCUCGAACGUUGCCAAGAUGAUUCAGUUCUUGGUUCUUACUGCUUUCCUGGCAGUGGUCAGCGCCGAUUCAGCCUGUGAUAAUAUCGGCGGCACUUGUUUGGACUGGCGUUACUACAAAUGUACGGCUGGCUACGAGAUCGGCCUGUGCAGCGGCGACUCUAACAGGAGGUGCUGUAACAACUGCGGCUCCGGCUGCAUCUCGGAUGAGGACUACUGGGCUACCUACUCCGACGGGGCAUGUGAUGGGGCAGGAGGAGAGUGCAAGGAUGACAGCAACUACUGCAACGGUCACUACAACACCGGGAUGUGCGGCGGACCUUCCGAGAGGAAGUGUUGUCUGCCUCACGGGACCAGCGGUGGUGGGACUAGUAGCGGUGGCGGUGGCGGCGGCUGCACCGUUCGCGCUUACAGCAACAACAACUUUGUGGGAGACCCCCAUCCAUGUAGAGGACGGCUUCAGGGGCGCCAUGGACAGUAUCAACAGCGCUGCCGGACGCUGUGGCGUCAAGGUCUGGAUCACUCACUCGUGGCGUAAGCUGGGGGCUUUCAUUGGCGGAGCCAUUGUCCAACCAGCGUCCAACAGCAACCACCUGGUGGGUCACGCCAUCGACAUGAACAUCCAACGGUCGGACGGAAGUCUGUGCAACGGAGACUGUUUGCAAGGACAGUGGGACAACGCCGCUAACUGCUUCCUGGAUGAAGUCAUUGCUGCAGGUCUGACCUGGGGCGGCGUGUUUAACGACCCUGUACACAUCGACGAUAGGUACAACACCAACCUGAACAGGUACUACGCCCUGAGGGACGUCGUCCAGCCGGCGUGCGGACACAUCCCCAUGACGUAAACAUCAGACGACAUCCUGGGCCUCGCCACGUCUCGUUACUUCAAGUGGCAGAAAAUUGUCUAAUAAAGGAAAUAAUUCGUGAUGAAACGGAUUGCAAAAUUUC